rnacentral:rRNA from 1 species
AGCGAACGCUGGCGGCAGGCUUAACACAUGCAAGUCGAGCGCCCCGCAAGGGGAGCGGCAGACGGGAGAGUAACACGUGGGAACGUACCUUUCAGUUCGGGACAACCAAGGGAAACUUUGGCUAAUACCGGAUACGCCCGUAAGGGGAAAGAUUUAUCGCUGAAAGAUCGGCCCGCGUCUGAUUAGCUAGUUGGUGGGGUAAUGGCCCACCAAGGCGACGAUCAGUAGCUGGUCUGAGAGGAUGAUCAGCCUCACUGGGACUGAGACACGGCCCAGACUCCUACGGGAGGCAGCAGUGGGGAAUAUUGGACAAUGGGCGCAAGCCUGAUCCAGCCAUGCCGCGUGGAUGAUGAAGGCCUUAGGGUUGUAAAGUCCUUUUAACGGGGAAGAUAAUGACGGUACCCGUAGAAUAAACCCCGGCUAACUUCGUGCCAGCAGCCGCCGUAAUAC